AACGUAGGACACAAGCGUUAUCCGGAGUUACUGGGCGUAAAGGGCGUGUAGGCGGACGUGUAAGUCUAUUCUGAAAGCUCCUGGCUAAACUGGGAGAGGCGAAUGGAGACUGCAUAUCUAGAGUGAGGAAGAGGAAAAGUGGAAUUCCGCGUGUAGUGGUGAAAUGGCGUAGAGAUGCGGAGGAACACCAGUGGCGAAAGCGACUUUCUGGUCCUUA
rnacentral:rRNA from 1 species